rnacentral:rRNA from 1 species
UACGGGGGGGGGCAAGCGUUGUUCGGAAUUACUGGGCGUAAAGGGCUCGUAGGCGGCCAACUAAGUCAGACGUGAAAUCCCUCGGCUUAACCGGGGAACUGCGUCUGAUACUGGAUGGCUUGAGAUUGGGAGAGGGAUGCGGAAUUCCAGGUGUAGCGGUGAAAUGCGUAGAUAUCGGGAGGAACACCAGUGGCGAAGGCGGCGAUCUGGGCAGAUACUGACGCUGAGGUGCGAAAGCGUGGGGAGCGAACAGG